CUACGGGUGGCAGCAGUCGAGAAUUUUUCUCAAUGGGGGAAACCCUGAAGGAGCGACGCCGCGUGGGGGAUGAAUGGCUUCGGCCCGUAAACCCCUGUCAUUUGCGAUCAAACCUUACGUUCUAAUAAAGCGUAAGCUGAUAGUAGCGAAAGAGGAAGGGACGGCUAACUCUGUGCCAGCAGCCGCGGUAAUACAGAGGUCCCAAGCGUUGUUCGGAUUCACUGGGCGUAAAGGGUGCGUAGGCGGUCGGGUAAGUCUGACGUGAAAUCUUCAAGCUCAACUUGGAAACUGCGUCGGAUACUAUUCGGCUAGAGGAAUGGAGGGGAGACUGGAAUACUUGGUGUAGCAGUGAAAUGCGUAGAUAUCAAGUGGAACACCAGUGGCGAAGGCGAGUCUCUGGACAUUUCCUGACGCUGAGGCACGAAAGCCAGGGGAGCAAACGGGAUUAGAUACCCCGGUAGUCCUGGCCCUAAACGGUGCACGUUUGCUGUAAGAGGAAUCGACCCCUUUUGUGGCGAAGCUAACGCGUUAAACGUGCCGCCUGGGAAGUACGGCCGCAAGGUUAAAACUCAAAGAAAUUGACGGGGGCCUGCACAAGCGGUGGAGUAUGUGGCUUAAUUCGAUACCACGCGAAGAACCUUACCUGGCCUUGACAUGCACAUAGUUGAAGCCUGAAAGGGUGACGAGGUAGCAAUACCAGUGUGCACAGGUGCUGCAUGGCUGUCGUCAGCUCGUGUCGUGAGAUGUUGGGUUAAGUCCCGCAACGAGCGCAACCCCUGUGUCCUGUUGCCACCCCUUAAUUGGGAGCACUCUGGACAGACUGCCUCGCUUCAACGAGGAGGAAGGUGGGGAUGACGUCAAGUCAGUAUGGCCCUUACGGCCAGGGCUGCACACGUACUACAAUGCCCGGCACAAAGGGACGCAAGACCGUCAGGUGGAGCAAAUCCCAGAAAACCGGGCCCAGUUCAGAUUGUCGUCUGCAACUCGACGGCAUGAAGCUGGAAUCGCUAGUAAUGGCGCAUCAGCUACGGCGCCGUGAAUACGUUCCCAGGCCUUGUACACACCGCCCGUCACAUCAUGAAAGCCGGUUGUACCCGAAGUCGCCCCUUAAAAGGUGCCGAAGGUAUGGCUGGUGAUUGGGAUGAAGUCGAAACAAGGUAGCCGUAGGGGAACCUGCGGCUG
rnacentral:rRNA from 1 species